ACUUGACCCGUCAAAAAUUGUCGAAUUUCGCUCUUACUCUCGUCUAUGUAAAUGUCACUAUCAUCCGGAUUUUCUAUUUUCUUGUACAAUUCAUCGAUCAGAGAUAAUUGUGAUUCUUCGUUUGCGAGUACAGUGUACUGUAGACGGGCCAUCUUAAAAUGAUUAACAACAUAAAAAAGUUCCUUGGAUAUCUACCAUAAAACGUGGGUCAACGCUUAAAAAUCGAAAAUUCAAUAUGUAAAUAUACUGGUUUAUUCAGAAGUAUUGCACCGUCUGAAGGUGGCUUUACCGAUAGAAAUAAAAUGGAUAAGGUACAUAUAUUAUAUGUAUUUUGAUAGUUACAAAAAUUUGUACAAUGCUACACAUAGCCAUGUAAAUUGAUCCUGAUUAACAAUACAUUAUAAUAAUACUCUCAGUU